rnacentral:rRNA from 1 species
CACGUAGGAGGCGAGCGUUGUCCGGAAUCAUUGGGCGUAAAGAGCGCGCAGGCGGCUUGGCAAGUCGAGUGUGAAAGCCCCCGGCUCAACUGGGGAGGGUCAUUCGAUACUGAUCGACUCGAAGGCAGGAGAGGGUAGUGGAAUUCCCGGUGUAGUGGUGAAAUGCGCAGAUAUCGGGAGGAACACCAAUGGCGAAGGCAGCUCGCUGGGACGGUACUGACGCUGAGGCGCGAAAGCGUGGGGAGCAAACAGGG